rnacentral:rRNA from 1 species
GGUAGUCCACGCCCUAAACCAUGUCAACUGGGUGUUCGGGAAGCGAUUCCUGAGUACCGUAGCUAACGCGUGAAGUUGACCGCCUGGGGAGUACGGCCGCAAGGUUAAAACUCAAAGGAAUUGACGGGGACCCGCACAAGCGGUGGAUGAUGUGGAUUAAUUCGAUGCAACGCGAACAACCUUACCUACCCUUGACAUGUCUGGAAGCCCGGUGAGAGCUGGGUGUGCCCGAAAGGGAACCGGAACACAGGUGCUGCAUGGCUGUCGUCAGCUCGUGUCGUGAGAUGUUGGGUUAAG